rnacentral:lncRNA from 14 species
AUGUUAAAUAGUCUAACAGAAACAUAAGAUAAUUACUGGAUCAUGUACAAAACUCAUGAAGUGUCAAUCAUUUCAGUCCCACAGUUACUUUUUUCUUGAAGAAUUAGAGAUCUCUGUAAUGGCUAAAACAAAAUACCCAGAUGUUACCCCUUUAAUAGAAAAACAACAUUGCCAUUGUCAUAGAUUAACGGGAUAAUUUCUCAAAUCAGAUUAUUACUUUUGUUUCAAUCUCAUGGUUUAUCCAUGGUUAUAUGACUUACAAAUUAGUUCCAUGAGACAUGUGAAGGAUUUGUGGAGCUAUAAUCAGCUCAUAAUCCAGCUGUACAUUUACCAUAAAUUCACAGACUUAUCAGUUAAGUUUUGGGUGCCAUAACUUAAACCAGAUGAGAUUUUUCGUGUUUUAAGUGUGUCUCACUCCUGGCCACAUCCCCUGCUGUUUCCACCAACUACAGGUGUAUUCCCAACUGCCUAGAAGUAAGAAUCUAGUAAGCACUUUUUUUUUCAGGGGGAGGUGUGCAUUGAACUCUCACAGGUCCUGAUACAAAUACUUCUUUCUUAGACUGAAAAAUAGGCCUGCAGUUUCAUAAAUACAUAUUUCUUUAGUGUCUCUGUAAUAGACUCAGUGCUUUCCUGUAUUAGGUGUGGUAGAAAGAGGGUAAAGCCACAGACUGUUAUGUCCUUGUAGUCUAUAGUCCUUGUCACCAGUCUAAAGUUGACAGUUUUCUUUCUCAUUAUAUGUGCUUUUUUGGUUCAUUCACCAGAAAUGAAGCCAGAGAAUCUCUGAAUAUCUUAAAAAAGACAAAGAAAAAUUGGAGAUCACAGUUCAGACUGAGCAGCUGCAAAGAAAGAGCAGGAGAGAUGCAGUGCAAUGGACAAUUUACACAAUUUACGUAAUGUGGGGGACCAGUGCAACUUUGGGGACUUUUGGGAAGUGUUUGAUCAAGUUUCCUCUGGUUUAGACUUCUAACACCCUGGUUGUGCAAUUUGCCUCUGUUAGGUUCUGUUUUGUGGAUGUUGGAGAUACUUGUACUGCAUUCAAAGUAAAUAAAGGCCUUGCCUACUUCUGCUCCC